UACGUAGGGGGCGAGCGUUGUCCGGAGUUACUGGGCGUAAAGCGCGUGUAGGCGGCCGUACAGGUCAGCUGUGAAAACUCGAGGCUCAACCUCGAGACGUCGGUUGAAACCGUACGGCUAGAGUCCGGAAGAGGAGAGUGGAAUUCCCGGUGUAGCGGUGAAAUGCGCAGAUAUCGGGAAGAACACCCGUGGCGAAGGCGGCUCUCUGGGACGGUACUGACGCUGAGACGCGAAAGCGUGGGGAGCGAACAGG
rnacentral:rRNA from 1 species